rnacentral:rRNA from 1 species
AACGAACGUUGGCGGCAUGGAUUAGGCAUGCAAGUCGCGGGAAUCCAGCAAUGGGGAACCGGCGUAAGGGGCAGUAAGGCAUGGGUACCUACCUCGGGGUUCGGGAUAGCCACCAGAAAUGGUGGGUAAUACCGGAUGACCUCGUGAGAGCAAAGGUCCGCCGCCCUGAGAGGGGCCCAUGUGAUAUUAGCUAGUUGGUGAGGUAACGGCUCACCAAGGCGAAGAUGUCUAGCGGGNGCGAGAGCACGACCCGCGCCACUCGCACUGAGACACUGGCGAGACACCUACGGGUGGCUGCAGUCGAGGAUCUUCGGCAAUGGGGGCAACCCUGACCGAGCGAUGCCGCGUGAGCGAUGAAGG